rnacentral:rRNA from 1 species
UACGGGAGGCAGCAGUGGGGAAUAUUGCACAAUGGGCGCAAGCCUGAUGCAGCCAUGCCGCGUGUAUGAAAAAGGCCUUCGGGUUGUAAAGUACUUUCAGUCGUGAGGAAGGUGUUAAGGUUAAUAACCUUAGCAAUUGACGUUAGCGACAGAAGAAGCACCGGCUAACUCCGUGCCAGCAGCCGCGGUAAUACGGAGGGUGCGAGCGUUAAUCGGAAUUACUGGGCGUAAAGGGCACGCAGGCGGUUAAUUAAGUUGGAUGUGAAAUCCCCGGGCUUAACCUGGGAAUGGCAUUCAAGACUGGUUAGCUAGAGUCUUGUAGAGGGGGUAGAACUCCAUGUGUAGCGGUGAAAUGCGUAGAGAUGUGGAGGAAUACCGGUGGCGAAGGCGGCCCCUGGACAAAGACUGACGCUCAUGUGCGAAAGCGUGGGGAGCAAACAGGGAUUAGAUACC